rnacentral:rRNA from 1 species
UGGGGAAUAUUGGACAAUGGGCGCAAGCCUGAUCCAGCCAUGCCGCGUGGAUGAAGAAGGCCCUAGGGUUGUAAAAUCCUUUCGCUAGGGAUGAUAAUGACAGUACCUAGUAAAGAAGCCCCGGCUAAUUUCGUGCCAGCAGCCGCGGUAAUACGAAAGGGGCUAGCGUUGUUCGGAAUUACUGGGCGUAAAGCGCACGUAGGCGGCCUGCCAAGUUAGAGGUGAAAUCCCGGGGCUUAACCCCGGAACUGCCUUUAAAACUGGUAAGCUAGAGGAUGUGAGAGGUGAGUGGAAUUCCGAGUGUAGAGGUGAAAUUCGUAGAUAUUCGGAAGAACACCAGUGGCGAAGGCGACUCACUGGCACAUUUCUGACGCUGAGGUGCGAAAGCGUGGGGAGCAAACAGGAUUAGAUACCCCCGUAGUCC